rnacentral:lncRNA from 1 species
UUUUGAGCUGAAUCUUUACAGACACAUUCUGGAGACAACAAAUGCUUAUCUUACAUCUCGUAAAAUGGGUAAAAUAGAUGUCCUUUAAUUCUCCCCUUUAAAGGUGAUCAGUGCCACGGCCAAUAUGAGCGGUCAAGCGUUGUGCAAGAUGAUGAACGAUGGAAACGUCUCCAGUGCUAAACUGCAAUGGCUUAACAUGCAGAUCAGACAAAUCCUCCAGUUAGCGCUCAGUCUAUCUGUGGAGCUGGUUUGUAACCCUCUAAUUCAAGCACUUUCUGUUAUAUGUGUCUCUGUGUGAGAUGAACCACAGCUUUUUGUCUUUUCCAGAACCCAGAGUUAAACAUCAGUGUGGCUGCUGCCUUUCUUUCUGUGGAUGAUCUCACUGAAACAGCAAUCCACGAUCUAUCGUUUGUUGAGUACUGGGUGUAUGUGAAGUUUCUGCCUGUUCUUCCAUAUGUCAAUGAGGAGAUUCUGGCACAACUGAGUCAGAUGAAAUUCCCCUGCCAAGCCUUUCAAGUGAUGUUCUCAGCAGAGAAGCAGCACUGAUCUCAGACCAGCAGAAGGAGCUGAUCUUCACUCAUCUCAUUUACUCAUAUCUGUCCAGGACAGACAUAACAGGUACCCAGACAUUAACUGACAAACAUUAUUGAGGGAUUGCAUGGAGGAUUGGCUUUCAUGGCUGCAUAUAUUCACAGAUCCAGGUUGCCUCUCAAACAUCCUCACGAGCAAUGAAUGGCUGCGGAUCAAUUUUGGGAUAUUCUCUAAACAUGCCACACUUGCACAACUGCAGACGCUCAACAACCAGUUCACUGAGCUGGAUUAUCUUGACUUACUGAGUCCGUCUGAGGUGGCAGAGUUUACUGUGACAUCCGGAGCUCUGAACAGUGUCAAUAUGAUCGGGAUCAUUUUUGACCGUUUACAAACAGGCAAUGCUUUCCAGAACACUGAUGAGUUUUUCUGGACCCUAAUUCGGUCUAAGGUAAGAUCAACUGACUAAUGUCAAAUUCAUUAUUUCUAUUGACA